rnacentral:lncRNA from 1 species
GCACUUUGUGCUCAUCUCCAGAGCUUUUCUCUUCUCCUAAAGUGGGUUUUAAUGCUCUGCCAUUCCAAGCACCUGUGCAGACAAGAAAUGCCUGGAUAGUGGAUUGGUUUCAAGAAACUUCAGUUCUUUCAAUCUGCUUUGGAUGGUGAGAGAAUUCCUGGAAAUAUCAGGUCCUGGUGGAACUGAGGAGCAUUUCGUCAGCCUUUUUCCCUGAACUGGGUUGAGUGCAGCUCGGAGAACACUUGGUCCUGAGGGCACUGACGCUUUUUUCAGAAAACAAACGAGCUUUGUUGUGA